AUUGAACGCUGGCGGCAGGCCUAACACAUGCAAGUCGAACGAGUGGCGGACGGGUGAGUAAUGUCUGGGAAACUGCCCGAUGGAGGGGGAUAACUACUGGAAACGGUAGCUAAUACCGCAUACCAUCGGAUGUGCCCAGAUGGGAUUAGCUAGUAGGUGGGGUAACGGCUUACCUAGGCGACGAUCCCUAGCUGGUCUGAGAGGAUGACCAGACACACUGGAACUGAGACACGGGCCGGACUCCGACGGGAGGCAGCAGUGGGGAAUAUUGCACAAUGGGGGCAAGCCUGAUGCAGCCAUGCCGCGUGUAUGAAGAAGGCCUUCGGGUUGUAAAGUUCUUUCGGCGAGGAGGCGUUACUCGCAGAAGAAGCACCGGCUAACUCCGUGCCAGCAGCCGCGGUAAUAC
rnacentral:rRNA from 1 species